UCACACACACAGAUUUCCAGCACAAAUUUACUGCACAAAAAAUCAUUCUCUCUUCUGCUGAAAAAACUAGGUUUCAAAUUUUAGAAAAACUUUCCUCCUUGAUUUUCUCAAAAGCUAAAAAGAUGAUUCGAAAUAGAAGGUUCUCUCCUGGUUUUCUUUGAUUAAAAUCUUUGGGUUUCUAAGGUUGAACUUUGGUGUGAUUUAGUUGUGGUUUGUUGUUUGUUGCUGCUUAUUAUCUUGGGGGAAAGCUCAACUGUUUUUGUGACCUUCAUUUGGUCUUUCUUUGAAUCAUGUAUAGGUAUGUAACCACAAUCUAGCUAUGAGAAUGAACUUGUCUUUGUGCAAAUCUGAAGUUAUUCAUGACUAUGUGUGCGUGGUUUUAUGUUUCAAUAAUAGAACUUAAUGUGUUGUUCAUUGUUCUUUAUCAGCUUUUCAUGUGUCUUCCUACGUAUUCCAGUAUGUAGGAAAAUAUUGUUAAAUAACAUAAAUAGUUGUGUCUCAUAACAAUAUUUAGGUUCAAUUUUGUGUAUGAUGCUUCUCUUUCUCUCUUUCAUUUGAUUCCUUUCACUCAAAAUACUGCUUUCAUUGUUCUUUUUGACUGUUUGGGUCAUGAGCUGUAACCUGUUGGUUCAACCAUCAGUUGGUUGGACCAAUUUGCUUUGAGAUCUUUAAGGUGGGAUUUACAUGUUAAAGGAAAGAAGAUGUAGCUUCUAUGAUUCUGAGUUGGAACCUCUAUGAUUUAUGUGUUUUACUUUCGACAUAGUUAAACUCAUGAAUAAACAUCUUUGUUUGCAUUCUUGAGAUUUAAUUUAGGUCUUUCAAUACAGUAUGAUACUAUAACUGAGGCAACUAUGUGAAUCUGACCUUCUCCCAUGGUCAGAUCCAUGACGUACUCAGAAAACAAGACUUAUUUAGCAAUAAGAAGUUUCAUGUUGGGAACUUGGGCAAAUUGUAAGAAGCAACUCUGUAUCUAGAUUCUUGCGGAUGUGGUGCUUUGGAUUCGAAGAAAUGAUGAAAGGAAAUUCUGGAAUCAAUAGAAGUCUUCAUUUUACUGUACUUUGUUCCUUUAAAAUUUCUUAGAUGUCAGUUAUAAUUGUGCUGAUUCUUUUGGAGUUAAAACUUCAUUGUAUAAUUUUAGGACUCACAAAUUUAUAAAAUGGACUGUUAGUUUUAAAAUCCAGUUAGUUAUCAAUAAGCCUACAAGAGUGGGCUAUUUUAUUUGGUGCAAUAAAUGUAUUUGGAGAUGUAUGCGAAAUCUGGCAUUGGGUCACAAUUAGGCCCAAACCUGGGCUCAUUCAAUGCAAG
rnacentral:lncRNA from 1 species